rnacentral:rRNA from 1 species
ACCGACGAUGCGUAGGGGUUCUGAGAGGAAGGUCCCCCACACUGGUACUGAGACACGGACCAGACUCCUACGGGAGGCAGCAG